GUGUCAGCCGCCGCGGUAAGACAGAGGGUGCAAGCGUUGUUCGGAAUUACUGGGCGUAAAGGGCGUGUAGGCGGCAAAGUAUGUCCGAUGUGAAAUCCCUCGGCUUAACUGGGGAAGUGCAUCGGAAACUACUUAGCUAGAGUAUAGGAGAGGGUGGCGGAAUUCCCAGAGUAGAGGUGAAAUUCGUAGAUACUGGGAGGAACACCUGAGGCGAAGGCGGCCACCUGGCCUAUUACUGACGCUGAUACGCAAAAGCGUGGGGAGCAAACAGGAUUAGAAACCCUCGUAGUCC
rnacentral:rRNA from 1 species